ACAAUCCCCUCCCCCCCCCCCCCAGUGGACAUAGUCGCGGUAUAUUACUAGUACACAAUGUUCGUUUGGAUAAAAUUUAUUGCAAGAAUAUGUUUCAUCACGGCUUCAUAAUAAUGGGGAAAACGUAUCAGUCGCCGUAACCGCACAGCUCGCUGCGAACGUUCACAAGCGACAUUCCAAUAGAAAAAGUACCUCGUCAUUAUCCUUAAGAAUCAUCGACAAUGAAAACGACAAUAUUGGCAUGCAUUUUAUAUGCGUGUAUGGUGCCAGUUAGGUGCGACAUUACACCUAAUACUACUAGCGUCGCUACAGUUAAUGCCACCGCCACUAGCGUGACAAUAUCCGCUACAAGCGCGACCCCAAUUACUACUAGCGCGACCCCAAUUAUUACUAGCGUGAGCCCAAACACUACUAGCGCGACCGCUACUAAAGAUAAUGACGACGUCAUUGACGGCAUGAUGUUUCUAACAGACAUAGCACUAGCGCCAUUCACAAUGACAGACAUGGAUAAUCGCUACGGAGACAUACUUACGCAUAUAGAGAUUUGUCCAGUUGGUUUUGUGACAUACGGUGGUAAAUGUUUUCCUUCUGUAAAAAUUGAUGUUCUGCUUUACAGUGACAACGAUUAGUGUUAUAUUUAUGUAUAAAAUCAUCAACAUAAGAUACAGCGAAGCAUUUCAAUACAAUACACUAGUGCAGGAGUUCCUAAAUUUUUAAGUUUUUUUUUUUAUACGACUUAGAAUGGCAAACAAGCUGACGGCCAACCUGAUGGGAAGUGGUAACCGUCGCCUAUAGACAUGAGCAGUACCAUGGACGUAACAGAAUAUACUGUUUCGCCCAUGAUACCCCCAAUGCGUUGCCAUUCCUGAGGACUCAGGUGUUAUUCCUCUGUACCCAGUAAAUUCACGCCAUAUCCCACCCUUCAAACCGAAACACAGCCAUGCAAACACAACUGCUUCACGGUUGAAACACAAAUGGGACAGAGGUACCCAAGCAAUCGACUUUUGUACAAAUAACUUACCCUCUGGUAAGUUAACGGAACGCCCGCCAAAUACCUUUUAUUUUAUGGAACCCCAAACUGAUUACAAAUAAAAAACCACUGUAAUUUAACUAAAAACAAAAGCUUUUAUUAAAAAAAAUUAAAAAGUACAACACUUUAUACUUUCUUUUAAUUUUUAAUGUGAAAAAUGUAAUUGUUUCACUGUAUAAAUAAUUUCUCGGAGCCCUGCUGGGUUUUUUACGCAACCCACUUUAGGACUGUACUAAUGGAUUAGGUCUAACUGUUCUUACGUUUAGAUGCAACCGCAGCAUGUUUUGUGUUUAAAAAACAAUAAAAUGAAGUUAAAUUAUU